rnacentral:lncRNA from 10 species
CGGGACUGGUGGCUGCGGUAGCUCAUUGGCCUUUGGUCUCUUAGACGGUGGAGAAUAAUCAUCAUCUUGAAAAAGAAAAUGGUCAUUACUGGAAGAACCAUCUUACAGUUACAGUCACCUCCUGGUCAAUUCCCAACAUUCAAAAGCUAAAGAAACAGGCUCAGAGGAUGUUAUUUGAUUGGACUAUGUUGUAUCUCUGGAGAGCACAGCUGAGAUCAGACUGUGUGUGUGUAACUCCACUAGACUACGAGGGUGCUUCUCAUAAAGGAGCACUGAGGUGCACAGAGAGGGUUGCAAGAUCAUAGUUCUCGGGGUGUUUAAAGGCAACACCUUCCGGAAGCCCCUGCACUACCACAGCCGACUGGUCUCGCAGCAUCUUCUCAUAUGGUACAGGUACCACUGUGGAUUUGCCUAAAGCUUUCCCUGGGGCAGAUGAAAAGCGGAUGAACAUCAUUCAAUGGUAAGAUUACAAAAUGAAAUCAUCGCUAGCUUAUUGUGGCUUAAUAAGGGCAUCCAUGAUUUUUUAUAAUAUAUGAUUUCAAAAUUAAUUAAUACUACAGCAUUCUAUCUCCCCAUGUCAGCAGAAGGUCUAAACCUGAAACUGAUCCGAAGGGCCAAAAUGAAAAGUAGAUAAAAUAUUUUACUUUAAAAAACACAUAGAGAGAGCAAUGGUUGGUUUCUUGCACUAUUGUCUUUCUUGAAGAUGGUCCCAUCCUGGCAUAUUCUCAGGUACAAUUUGGCCUCAGAAUACAGAAGCCCAGCACAUCCAACUAUUACCAUAAAAUACCAGGAAUGUUUUGGCUAAUAUUCUCAUUGAAAACUUAUCAGGUAAAUACAAACUUCCCAUUUACAAAUGAGUAUAUACUGUCAACCUAUUGGGCAGCGAGCCUCACACAUACUGAAAAUCCCAUUCCAGAGAAUUGAUUUUCACCUAUGACCCUGCAGUAAAACCUCAAUCUCCUCCUUUGACUGUUUUCUUGUAAGAGCUUUGUUUUAUGAUGUGACAAGAGUAAGAAAAGGUGGCUUUGCAUGGAAUUAGAGAGAUGAGCAUGCUUAUUAGAAAGAAACAGCUAGGCCAGGCAUGGUGGCUCACGCCUGUAAUCCCAGCACUUUGGGAGGCCAAGGUGGGUGGAUCACCUGAGAUCAGGAGUUCGAGACCAGCCUGGCGAAUGUGGUGAAACCCCAUCUCUACUAAAAUUUAACACAAAAGUGCAGGCCUACCCAACUAUGGAAUGAUGGAACAGAAGGCCUCACCAUGGACUCGAGAGCUGACAUGAGGAAUGUCACCACCAUCCUGCUCUCCGAGGACUCCUCAUCUUCAACGGGGAGGGUGGACAUUGCAACUUGGGCCAUGAUCCCUGUGCAGGAGAAGUAAGAAGAAAGUGAGUGGUAGAAAUCUGGUGUCCUGAACCCACAGCCAAAGCGUAGGCCAAAGUGGUAAAAAGCAAAUGAGUACUGCCAGAAACAGGCAUGGAAUACCAAAACAAGAAUUUUACAGAGGAGAAAACAAACAGGAAGACAGCAGGGAGAGUUCCAGAACAAAAGGACAACAGUAAAGGACGACAGGGCAAGAAUGGAGAAUGAAGAAUUAUCAAGACAAUACCUUCACCUCUUCCGAUGACGUACCCACACAAUUUUUACAGGGUCUGGAGGCCAGAGCCCAAAAGUGAACAUGUCAGCAGGGUUGAUUCCCUGUGCAGGCUGUGUUAAGUGGGUGAUGAUGACAAGGAUGAUGGUGAGAAUC